ensembl:ncRNA T14B4.14 ncRNA
GAGCGGGGGGCAUAGGGUGGUGGCGGCGCCCGCCGCGCGCGCAAUACACAAGAAAAGAUUAAAAAAUUGGGUUACGUUAUCAUUUUAUCAUUUAUCCCUCUUCUCAUUCCCCCACCAUCAAUAUCAUCGGGGUCAUUUAUCCUCGAGAA